CAUCAAGGGAUAAGACCUGAACAAAUCAGGUUACGUUACCUUGCGUAAGCAUGGAUGCCUGGCCAAUAGUUGUAUGUGUGUAUGAAGAGGGCAGGCUCCUCUCCU